rnacentral:lncRNA from 1 species
AAUUCCCAUAUAUAAUUGGUUGUAUUUAUUACACCCAUAUAAAAUUUAAAAAUAUGGUUGUGAUGCAGCCUAAUAUUAUAUAGAAAAGGAUAUUAUUCCCUCAAUGUUGUUGUUCAGGUGACUUGUGAUGCUAAUCUUCAGAUCAGAGAUAUUGUUAGAUGGCAAAGCAGCACUCAUAACUCCCGGAUAUUGCAACAAGAACUUUGGUGUGUGGAAACAGCAUUUUCAAUGUCUGUUCCAUAGCAUAUCUAAAAUUUGGCAAUGUGAAGACUACUAUUAUGGCUCUUGCAAUGUUGCACAACAUUGCAAUUGCUCAAAGAGAGAUAUAUGCCACAGAAAAGUGUGUCCGAUACUGAAGAGGUGUCAGAAUCAACUAUAAUUAUCAUCAUUGACCCAAAAUCUAGACUAAUGUUGUUCACACUGAAAGGUGGAGGUGGAUUAUAGUAUACUAAUGCAUCAUAUGCAUGCCUUAAUCUGUGUACUGAACAAAUUGUACAUCAUAUUUGAUUAUAUGUUAACUUGUCAUAAGAGCCUUUUAUAUGCCUACGUGAUAAAUAAAGGUU